UACGUAGGUGGCAAGCGUUGUCCGGAUUUACUGGGCGUAAAGAGCGCGCAGGCGGUCAGAUAAGUCGAAUGUGAAAGCCCCCGGCUCAACUGGGGAGGGUCAUUCGAUACUGUUCGACUCGAAGGCAGGAGAGGGAAGUGGAAUUCCCGGUGUAGUGGUGAAAUGCGUAGAUAUCAGGAGGAACACCAAUGGCGAAAGGCAGCUCGCUGGGACGUGACUGACGCUGAGACGCGAAAGCGUGGGGAGCAAACAGG
rnacentral:rRNA from 1 species